GCCAAUUCGAGGCACAAGAGGAAAAAGAGCGCAAAAUACACAACUUUGGCGGAGCUCGAGCCACAAGUGCCCGGAAUAUU